rnacentral:rRNA from 1 species
CCUACGGGAGGCAGCAGUGGGGAAUUUUGGACAAUGGGCGCAAGCCUGAUCCAGCAAUGCCGCGUGAGUGAAGAAGGCCUUCGGGUUGUAAAGCUCUUUUGUCAGGGAAGAAACGGCUGAGGCUAAUAUCCUCGGCUAAUGACGGUACCUGAAGAAUAAGCACCGGCUAACUACGUGCCAGCAGCCGCGGUAAUACGUAGGGUGCAAGCGUUAAUCGGAAUUACUGGGCGUAAAGCGUGCGCAGGCGGUUUUGUAAGUCUGUCGUGAAAGCCCCGGGCUUAACCUGGGAAUUGCGAUGGAGACUGCAAGGCUUGAAUCUGGCAGAGGGGGGUAGAAUUCCACGUGUAGCAGUGAAAUGCGUAGAGAUGUGGAGGAACACCGAUGGCGAAGGCAGCCCCCUGGGUCAAGAUUGACGCUCAUGCACGAAGACGGUGGGGAGGACGAACAAGGAGUAGUAUACCGUACGGUAGUACCGACCGACCCGUAACCGACUAGUCUACUAGUUGUUCGGUUCGUUAUUAGUACGUUAGGUACGUACGA